UCAUCAGUACACACAUUCGGCUGCGAAAAAUGAUAUAUUUCAAACUUGGUUUAAUUGAUGGGAUAAUUUUGUUUACAGAACAACCGGAAUCUCAAGGUGGAGUUAUUGCUAAGAAGGAAAAACUACUUACUCUUGAUGGUUAAACACUUGAACUCCAAAUAUUGCUGCUCAUACUUUCACAUAUUGAUAGCUAGCUGUUGCUACAAAUGACUUCACGGAAUAGUGGGUUUUAGGUGAAGGGAGAUCUGGACGUGUAUAUAGUAAGGCCUACCUCGAAAGCACUGAUCAGGUCAGUCGUGGUUACUCUACUUUCACCAUUUUUGCUACGAAUCGAAAAAAGAAAUAAAAGCAGUAGAUACCAGUUCCAUAAGUUUUUUAUUUGUAUUUUGUGAAUUGCGGGGAAGUGGUUGUCUUUGCAGGUAAUUGCAGUGAAACAGCUUGACAGGGAUGGCCUUUAAGGAAACAUAAUGUAAUACUACUUGAGAAAGGCUUACCAUAUUUUCAGGACAUCCAUCUGGUGGAAGGUCAAAUUUGAAGGAAACAGCCAGCAAUGCAAUUACCAUGUUUUGUAGAAAAGUGUAUCAAAUUGAACAAGAGAUGUUUGGAACAACAAAAUGAUUGACCAUGUUUUCUCGAAAAUUUGUGGUUGGCGAGACUUCUGUCAAUUGUUCUCCUAGACCAGGUCCAAACCAACAUUUAGAGAAUAUGAGGUUAGACAGGGCAGUUAUGCCGGGCAAGAGGAAGGUACUCGGUGGAAAUGCAUAUGUUUUUAUCCGGGCACAUGUUGUUCCAAAGCGACUUCCUUAAACUGGAGUAGUGGACUGACAUCCAAUUUCCUCUGUAUGGCCCAUACCACUCAAUACGGGAUACACUCUCGCAAGUUAUCUUUUAAUGACGAUGACAGAAUAUUGCCAAAAAGUCCCGAAGUUAUCAAAGGAAAAGGGAAUUUGGUGGACUGUAUCAAAAUAGUGUCAAAAAAGGAAGAAGAAAGAUCUGAGUCCAAGAGGAUUCCAUUUUAGUUGCCCAUCUGGAUUUGAUUGGGAACAUGGUAGUUGAUCUUAUGUCUAUUGAAAUUAUUUUAUACGUUUUGAUGUUUUCUGUCUCAUGGAUCCUAAAACCCGGAAUACAAAAGGUCGAUCUGAAAUUUGCAGUAAUCAAAAGCCCCUUGCUUUUGCUGUUCAUCCAAUGGUUGCCUCCAUUUCUUUAGAACCUCCGUCUGUCAUAUUACGGAAGCUCGACCGGAUUGAGUUAUAGUCUCAAUAAUUUUAUUAUUGUACUUGCGGCAAUUCUUAAUACCUUAGGAACUUGCACACCUCUUUUCCAAUUAUAGCCUUGGAAAUAUUUGCAUCCAAUGUAGUAUUUAUUUUUUAUGUGUUUAUUCUGAAUUCACGGUAUCUUAAUUCCCUGUUUGCACGAAAUAUUCAUUGAGUGGCAACAAGAAGAGACAAGAUUGUAGCUAUAUUAAUGAUGGCUAUUGGUGUAACAGAUCUUUACAUGGUCAUGCAUGUCAGAUUAUCUUUCAGGUACCGACGUAUUACGUAUAGAUCUAAGAAGAAGGCCCAGAAUUUUGAAGUUACUAAAACAUUCAUCAAACAUAACUCAUGAGCAGCAUACUUCAUGGAAGACUUGAUGUCAAAGUUUUGCAUACUAACACUUUGUUAAAUUAAUGGACACACAUUUAAAACAUUGUGAUCUAAUGGGUGCUAUACAAGUUAUAUGAACUUCAACCUCAUGACAUGUUUGGGAUUUGGAUUUUCUAACAAUACGGCGAAUUGCCAACAUGAGAAUAGAAGGUGAAUGAGCUGGAACAAAAGCUUUCACAGAUAUAGGAGGAACAUGCGAUACGGAAAUGAAGGAUGAGGAGAUUUUUUUUUCUUUUG